rnacentral:rRNA from 1 species
CCUCUUUCAGUAGGGAAGAAGCCCCUUUUUGGGGUGACGGUACUUGCAGAAGAAGCGCCGGCUAACUACGUGCCAGCAGCCGCGGUAAUACGUAGGGCGCAAGCGUUAUCCGGAAUUAUUGGGCGUAAAGAGCUCGUAGGCGGUUUGUCGCGUCUGCCGUGAAAGUCCGAGGCUCAACCUCGGAUCUGCGGUGGGUACGGGCAGACUAGAGUGAUGUAGGGGAGACUGGAAUUCCUGGUGUAGCGGUGAAAUGCGCAGAUAUCAGGAGGAACACCGAUGGCGAAGGCAGGUCUCUGGGCAUUUACUGACGCUGAGGAGCGAAAGCAUGGGGAGCGAACAGGAUUAGAUACCCUGGUAGUCCAUGCCGUAAACGUUGGGCACUAGGUGUGGGGGACAUUCCACGUUUUCCGCGCCGUAGCUAACGCAUUAAGUGCCCCGCCUGGGGAGUACGGCCGCAAGGCUAAAACUCAAAGGAAUUGACGGGGGCCCGCGCAAGCGGCGGAGCAUGCGGAUUAAUUCGAUGCAACGCGAAGAACCUUACCAAGGCUUGACAUGUUCCAGACCGGGCCAGAGAUGGUCUUUCCCCUUUUGGGGCUGGUUCACAGGUGGUGCAUGGUUGU